rnacentral:rRNA from 1 species
CUUCGCCACUGGUGGUCUUCCCGGGAUUAUAGGAUUUCACCCCUACCCCGAGAAUACCGACGGCCUCUCUCGCCCCCUAGCCGAACAGUAUCCCCCGCAGACCAACGAUUGAAUCGUUGGGUUUAACAGGGGACUUGCUCAGCCAGCUACGGAUGCUUCAGGCCCAGUAAUCAUCCACACCA